rnacentral:rRNA from 1 species
CCUACGGGUGGCAGCAGUGGGGAAUAUUGGACAAUGGGGGCAACCCUGAUCCAGCCAUGCCGCGUGUGUGAAGAAGGCCCUCGGGUUGUAAAGCACUUUCAGUGAGGAAGAACGCCUGGUGGUUAAUACCCAUCAGGAAAGACAUCACCCACAGAAGAAGCACCGGCUAACUCCGUGCCAGCAGCCGCGGUAAUACGGAGGGUGCGAGCGUUAAUCGGAAUUACUGGGCGUAAAGCGCGCGUAGGUGGCUUGAUAAGCCGGUUGUGAAAGCCCCGGGCUCAACCUGGGAACGGCAUCCGGAACUGUCAAGCUAGAGUGCAGGAGAGGAAAGUAGAAUUCCCGGUGUAGCGGUGAAAUGCGUAGAGAUCAGGAGGAAUACCAGUGGCGAAGGCGGCCUUCUGGACUGUCACUGACACUGAGGUGCGAAAGCGUGGGUAGCAAACAGGAUUAGAUACCCGUGUAGUC